GAUGAACGCUGGCGGCGUGCCUAAUACAUGCAAGUCGAGCGAACAGACGAGGAGCUUGCUCCUCUGACGAUAGCGGCGGACGGGUGAGUAACACGUGGAUAACCUACCUAUAAGACUGGGAUAACUUCGGGAAACCGGCGCUAAUACCGGAUAAUAUACUGAACCGCAUGGUUCAAUAAUGAAAGACGGUUUUGGUUUAACUUAUAGAUGGAUCCGCGCCGCAUUAGCUAGUUGGUUAGGUAACGGCUUACCAAGGCCACGAUGCGUAGCCGACCUGAGAGGGUGAUCGGGCACACUAGAACGGAGAGACGGUUCAGACUCCUACGGGAGGCAGCAGUAGGGAAGCUUCCGCAAGGGGCGAAAGCCUGACAGAGCAACGCCGCGUGAGUGAUGAAGGUCUUCGGAUCGUUAAACUCUGUUAUUAGGGAAGAACAAAUGUGUAAGUAACUAUGCACGUCGUGACGGUACCUAAUCAGAAAGCCACGGCUAACUACGUG
rnacentral:rRNA from 1 species